CGCUAUCACUCCUACGGGAGGCAGCAGUGGGGAAUAUUGCACAAUGGGCGCAAGCCUGAUGCAGCCAUGCCGCGUGUAUGAAGAAGGCCUUCGGGUUGUAAAGUACUUUCAGCAGUGAGGAAGGUGGUAGUGUUAAUAGCACUAUCAUUUGACGUUAGCUGCAGAAGAAGCACCGGCUAACUCCGUGCCAGCAGCCGCGGUAAUACGGAGGGUGCGAGCGUUAAUCGGAAUUACUGGGCGUAAAGCGCAUGCAGGUGGUUUGUUAAGUCAGAUGUGAAAGCCCGGGGCUCAACCUCGGAAUUGCAUUUGAAACUGGCAGACUAGAGUACUGUAGAGGGGGUAGAAUUUCAGGUGUAGCGGUGAAAUGCGUAGAGAUCUGAAGGAAUACCAGUGGCGAAGGCGGCCCCCUGGACAAAGACUGACGCUCAGAUGCGAAAGCGUGGGGAGCAAACAGGAUUAGAUACCCUGGUAG
rnacentral:rRNA from 1 species